UUUUAAUUGNAAGCAACGCGAAGAACCNUNCCAAAUCUUGACAUCCUUUGANCGCUCUAGAGAUAGANUUUUCCCCUUCGGGGGACAAAGUGACAGGUGGUGCAUGGUUGUCGUCAGCUCGUGUCGUGAGAUGUUGGGUUAAGUCCCGCAACGAGCGCAACCCUUAAGCUUAGUUGCCAUCAUUAAGUUGGGCACUCUAAGUUGACUNCCGGUGACAAACCGGAGGAAGGUGGGGAUGACGUCAAAUCAUCAUGCCCCUUAUGAUUUGGGCUACACNCGUGCUACAAUGGACAAUACAAAGGGCAGCUAAACCGCGAGGUCAAGCAAAUCCCAUAAAGUUGUUCUCAGUUCGGAUUGUAGUCUGCAACUCGACUACAUGAAGCUGGAAUCGCUAGUAAUCGUAGAUCAGCAUGCUAACGGUGAAUACGUUCCCGGGUCUUGUACACACCGCCCGUCACACCACGAGAGUUUGUAACACCCGAAGCCGGUGUGAGUAACCAUUUAUGGAGCAGCCUCGAAGUGACAA
rnacentral:rRNA from 1 species